CUGCUAUCUCUAACAUUUAAAUGUAGACAAGAGCGUUAACGAACACAAAGAAUUAUCAACGGAAUAUUGAAUGUUUUGGUAGUUUCAAAUGUAGUGACGAGCAAAACAUUCACCAGCAAACAUACCUAUUUGGACUUGCAAGGGAAUCGCAUCGCAGAUGAUGAACUCAACAGGCUGUUUCAAUGCACGUCCAUGACAAAUUAAUAAUUUGGAAUAUAUGUACAUACAUGUAAUAAUUACAGAAAAUAAUAUUCUCAUGACUAGAAAUUUUUGUAAUUGAUGUGAAUUGCCUAGUUAAUUAUACGUGUGCGCAAUGAUGUCAUAGGUCUAGACUUUCAUUGAUUAUAUUUGAAUUUUAUUUAUUGAA